rnacentral:rRNA from 1 species
GACGUAGGGCGCGAGCGUUGUCCGGAUUUAUUGGGCGUAAAGAGCUCGUAGGCGGCUUGUCGCGUCGACUGUGAAAACCCGAGGCUCAACUUCGGGCUUGCAGUCGAUACGGGCAGGCUAGAGUUCGGUAGGGGGAGACUGGAAUUCCUGGUGUAGCGGUGAAAUGCGCAGAUAUCAGGAGGAACACCGAUGGCGAAGGCAGGUCUCUGGGCCGAUACUGACGUGAGGAGCGAAAGCGUGGGGAGCGAACAGG